rnacentral:rRNA from 1 species
GAUGAACGCUGGCGGCGUGCCUAACACAUGCAAGUCGAACGAAGCACCUUACCUGAUUCUUCGGAUGAAAGUUUGGUGACUGAGUGGCGGACGGGUGAGUAACGCGUGGGUAACCUGCCCUGUACAGGGGGAUAACAGCUGGAAACGGCUGCUAAUACCGCAUAAGCGCACGAGGAGACAUCUCCUUGUGUGAAAAACUCCGGUGGUACAGGAUGGGCCCGCGUCUGAUUAGCUGGUUGGCAGGGUAACGGCCUACCAAGGCAACGAUCAGUAGCCGGUCUGAGAGGAUGAACGGCCACAUUGGAACUGAGACACGGUCCAAACUCCUACGGGAGGCAGCAGUGGGGAAUAUUGCACAAUGGGGGAAACCCUGAUGCAGCAACGCCGCGUGAGUGAAGAAGUAUUUCGGUAUGUAAAGCUCUAUCAGCAGGGAAGAUAAUGACGGCACCUGACUAAGAAGCUCGGGCUAAAUACGUG